rnacentral:misc_RNA from 1 species
GAAAAUGCGAUAUGCAAUGUGAAUUGCAGAACCACGAAUCAUUUGAUCUUUGAACGCAAAUGGCGCUGAUCAUGUCAGCAUACUUGCUUCAGUGUGCGUAAACAAAUUAAUAUAUAAAUGUAAGAGAAAAUUCUCUUAUGAAAUAUAUGCUCCAAGUAGCAGUCACUAUACGUGAGCUAUUGAGGAGAAAUAAUGCCAUAUUGUCACCUGAAACAAGUAAGAACACCCGCUGGACUUAA